rnacentral:rRNA from 1 species
AUUGAACGCUGGCGGCAGGCCUAACACAUGCAAGUCGAGCGGAUGAAGGGAGCUUGCUCCUGGAUUCAGCGGCUGACGGGUGAGUAAUGCCUAGGAAUCUGCCUGGUAGUGGGGGAUAACGUCCGGAAACGGGCGCUAAUACCGCAUACGUCCUGAGGGAGAAAGUGGGGGAUCUUCGGACCUCACGCUAUCAGAUGAGCCUAGGUCGGAUUAGCUAGUUGGUGGGGUAAAGGCCUACCAAGGCGACGAUCCGUAACUGGUCUGAGAGGAUGAUCAGUCACACUGGAACUGAGACACGGUCCAGACUCCUACGGGAGGCAGCAGUGGGGAAUAUUGGACAAUGGGCGAAAGCCUGAUCCAGCCAUGCCGCGUGUGUGAAGAAGGUCUUCGGAUUGUAAAGCACUUUAAGUUGGGAGGAAGGGCAGUAAGUUAAUACCUUGCUGUUUUGACGUUACCAACAGAAUAAGCACCGGCUAACUUCGUG